CUACACAAACUAGGACAACUUUUGCAUUGUAAGGGGUAAACCUUACAGCAGGACAACCUUGCAGUUUGUGAUUGAUCUAAAAUUUUAAUUUUAGAUUUAAUAAUCAGAUUAUAAAUUAGAUCUAAUCUAAAAAAUAAUCUAAGCAUGUAUAAAUAAUCAUGUAAUAAGGAACCUAGGCUCUGAUACCAAUUGUAGGAACCAGAUCUAGGGUUUCAGGGUUAGAUCUUGAAACUUUUUCAAGAUCAUACAGCGGAAGACUAAAAUAAAUCAAAAUUUAUUUUCUAAAAUUAGAGAAUCUCUAGAUUUAAGAUCUUAUUAUAUGAUUAUUAUAUAUCAUUAAAUCAAAAAUUAAAAUAUAUAAAUAUACAGCAUGAACUACAUGUUGAUCAUAUCAACAUGUUUCUAUACUACAUCUAAUGUAUGUAUUAAACAAUAGAUCAGAUCUAUUACCUUGCAGGUUAGACGUUCUAACCUUACUGAUCUGGGCUUGAGGAUGAUGUUGCAAGCCGCACACGCAUCCGACCUCUAGGAGUCAUCCACACGAGCCCACGAAUCUCGAUCAGAAAUCCUGCUUCAGGAAAUCAGCACAGUAUGCUAGUACUGCGCUGAUCCUUCUUUGAUGGUUGAUCAGGUGCCUCAUUCUUCUUGAUUUGGACUCUUUCAAAGAUGGAAAGUAAAAGGAGGAG
rnacentral:lncRNA from 1 species